rnacentral:rRNA from 1 species
UACGGAGGGUGCGAGCGUUGUCCGGAAUCACUGGGCGUAAAGGGCGCGUAGGUGGCGGAGCAAGUCAACGGUGAAAGCUCGACGCUCAACGUCGAGUCGGCCGUCGAUACUGCUUUGCUCGAGCACUGUAGAGGCAGAUGGAAUUCCGGGUGUAGCGGUGGAAUGCGUAGAGAUCCGGAAGAACACCGGUGGCGAAGGCGGCCAAUCUGGACCGCAACUGACGCUGAGGCGCGAAAGCGUGGGGGAGCAAACAGGGAUUAAGAA